rnacentral:rRNA from 1 species
GAUGAACGCUGGCGGCGUGCCUAAUACAUGCAAGUCGAGCGAACAGACGAGGAGCUUGCUCCUCUGACGUUAGCGGCGGACGGGUGAGUAACACGUGGAUAACCUACCUAUAAGACUGGGAUAACUUCGGGAAACGGGAGCUAAUACCGGAUAAUAUAUUUAACCGCAUGGUUCAAUAGUGAAAGACGGUUUUGCUGUCACUUAUAGAUGGAUCCGCGCCGCAUUAGCUAGUUGGUAAGGUAACGGCUUACCAAGGCAAGGAUUCGUAGCCGACCUGAGAGGGGGAUCGGCCACACUGGAAUUGAGAAACGGUCCAGCGUCCUACGGGAGGCAGCAGUAGGGAAUCUUCCGCAAUGGGCGAAAGCCUGACGGAGCAACGCCGCGUGAGUGAUGAAGGUCUUCGGAUCGUAAAACUCUGUUAUUAGGGAAGAACAAAUGUGUAAGUAACUAUGCACGUCUUGACGGUACCUAAUCAGAAAGCCACGGCUAACUACGUG